rnacentral:misc_RNA from 1 species
UUUCCGUAGGUGAACCUGCGGAAGGAUCAUUAUUGUAUAACGGAGCUGCGAGGUCUUUCGCGUACCCGAAAGAUCGUGCACGCCCGAGUGGACUCAAACACAUCCAUCUCACCCCUAUGUGCACCACCGCGUGGUUCCCCCUUCGGCUUCUUCGGAGGGGGGCUUACGUUUUCACACAAACUUUAUAUGCUGUGUAGAAUGUAUUUUUUGUUUUUGCGAUAACGCAAUCAAUACAACUUUCAACAACGGAUCUCUUGGCUCUC